rnacentral:rRNA from 1 species
UACGGGGGGGGCAAGCGUUAUUCGGAAUUACUGGGCGUAAAGGGCGUGUAGGCGGUUUUAUUUGUCGAAAGUGAAAUCCCUUGGCUCAACCAAGGAACUGCUUUCGAAACAGUAGAACUUGAGUCCGGGAGAGGGGAGCGGAAUUCCCAGUGGAGCGGUGAAAUGCGUAGAUAUUGGGAGGAACACCGGUGGCGAAGGCGGCUACUCUGGACCGGUACUGACGCUGAGACGCGAAAGCUAGGGGAGCAAACAGGAUUAGAUACCCGCGUA